rnacentral:rRNA from 1 species
CACGUAGGGUGCGAGCGUUGUCCGGAAUUAUUGGGCGUAAAGGGCUCGUAGGCGGUCUGUCGCGUCGGGAGUGAAAACUCGGGGCUUAACUCCGAGCCUGCUUCUGAUACGGGCAGACUAGAGGUAUGCAGGGGAGAAUGGAAUUCCUGGUGUAGCGGUGAAAUGCGCAGAUAUCAGGAGGAACACCGGUGGCGAAGGCGGUUCUCUGGGCAUGACAUGACGCUGAGGAGCGAAAGUGUGGGGAGCGAACAGG